AAGCAUUCUGGGAAAGUCUUUACUGAGGAAGCACGGUUACAUCACAUCAUGAACAUUUCCACAAUUUUUCUUGUGUGUCUGUGUCUGUGUGUGACCCUGGAGAUGGCGAUGACGUCAGAGGUCACUGACCCAGUGGAGCAGUUCAGGCUUCACUGUCUGACACCAGACUCAUGGGAAGUGAGCGAUAUGUGCAUAUUCUUUAGGGCCGUGGACACAGAUACCAGCGGGUCUUUAAACUUUUUGGAGUUCUGGUAUAAUAUACUUCGCUAUUACCUCUUCAUUGACGAGGAGGAGGAGGCUGAUGCUGUUUUUAAGCAAUUUGACAUUGAUGGAAGCGGAACCAUAGACUUUGGUGAAUUCCUCACCAUUGCCAGGUCGACCAUGUGAGCAGUCACAGAGGACGUGGUCAUGCAGGCGUUUCAGAAGGUGGAGAAAACUGUGGAGACGACGUGACCAGAGAAGAGUUUCUCGUUUACGCUGUGACGUCAUCACUGGAUCACAAUAAAGAGUUCAAAGCAAAUGCUGCUGUCGUUUGUUAGUGACUUGGAUUUAAAUCAGUUUUUGUUUUCUAUGUUGUGUUCUAUGUUUCUAAUAGCACUGCACAGUGUUGUAAAGUAUUACAGUAUUUGUGUUCAAUUAUGAUCUAUAAUGUUAAAAUGUGAGUUUCAAAAGCUCAGAUGUAUCUUACUGACAUUUAUCAAACUUUAAAGUCGUGAUUAAAUUCAUUAUUUAUGUUGUAGAUCUACAGAGUGGUGCUAUCGUGAUGAUCUGAGAUCGAUUGCUUUGGUCUUGACACACGCACACACCUGUGAUCAUUAAGCAUGAUUCUAGUUGAGCUCUUACUGGGGAAACACCGUUACAUCACAUCGUGAACAUUUCCACGCUCUUUCUCGUGUGUCUGUGUCUGUGUGUGACCCUGGAGAUGGCAGCGACGUCAGAGGUCACUGACCUGCUGCACUGCACUGACCCAGUGAAGUGGUCUGGGAAGUAUGGUCUGUCCCUGGACUCAUCUGAGAUGGAAGAUCUGAGCAGUGUCUUUAGGAUGAUGGACAAAAAUGCCAACUGCUUUCUGGACUUCGAUGAGCUCUGGAAGAGUUUAAGCGACUCUGGCGUCUCAAUGGACCAGCAGGACACUGUCACCGUGUUUAAGUACUUUGACCGCGAUGGAAGCCGAGGCGUUGACAUUGGUGAAUACCUCGUCGCUGUCGGGGUACAUAUUUGAAUGAUAAGUCACUGCACACAAGUCGCAUGUGCCAAUUACAUCAUGUACUUCAAGUGUACUUCAACCUAAUGAUGAGUUGUGAUGUGAUCACUGCUUCAAUAAAGAGUUCAAACAGAUUUUUGAUAUUAACAACUUUUAA